UACGUAGGGUGCUAGCGUUGUUCGGAAUCAUUGGGCGUAAAGCGCGUGUAGGCGGUUAGUUAAGUCGGGUGUGAAAUCCCUGGGCUCAACCGAGGAAGUGCAUUCGAAACUAACUAGCUAGAAGAUGGUAGAGGAAGGUGGAAUUCCAAGUGUAGAGGUGAAAUUCGUAGAUAUUUGGAGGAAUACCGGUGGCGAAGGCGGCCUUCUGGGCCAUUCUUGACGCUGAGACGCGAAGCGUGGGGAGCAAACAG
rnacentral:rRNA from 1 species